rnacentral:rRNA from 1 species
UACGGGGGGAGCAAGCGUUGUUCGGAUUUACUGGGCGUAAAGGGCUCGUAGGUGGCCAACUAAGUCAGACGUGAAAUCCCUCAGCUUAACUGGGGAACUGCGUCUGAUACUGGAUGGCUUGAGUUUGGGAGAGGGAUGCGGAAUUCCAGGUGUAGCGGUGAAAUGCGUAGAUAUCUGGAGGAACACCGGUGGCGAAGGCGGCAUCCUGGACCAACACUGACACUGAGGAGCGAAAGCCAGGGGAGCAAACGGG